rnacentral:tRNA from 1 species
GGUUUGUGGCUCAGUGGUAGAGAACUUACCUAGCAUGUGUGAGGCACUGGGUUCGAUUCUCAGAACCA